UGAUGAUGAUGAAGAAGAAUAGAUGGAAAAGGAUGAGGAUGAUGAGGAUGACGAUGAUUGAGCAGCUACGGAAUCCAAAACUGAUCAGCUGACUCUGGGAAUCGGAUUAUGCAAAUUGAAGUUGCAGUUCUUGGCAGUCGAGAAUGUCACUAGAAAAUAAAUUUGAAAGUAAGAAUGAGAGAGGAAUGUGUCAAAUGUAUUAAUGUGUUUGCUUGAUUGAUAAAUGUAUGGUUGGUAUAUAUGAAAAUGGUCUUGGGAUAGUAUGGGUUUGAAAAGUCAAGUGAGUAAAUUGCAACUAGGAAUAUUUGCAGGUUAAUUGAUAAGUAAAAGAUGUUUUGCUAGAAGUUUUUCAUUGAUCUGAUCAAGGGCUGAGUUAGAGUCUUCUUAAUGUGGUCUGUUUUUAUUUGAGAGAUAUAAUUUGGCAGAUCCUAGCUACUUCCAAGUAUUGGUUUACUCUAUCAUGUUUUAUAUUUGGGACAAUUCAUUUGAAUGAUCCAAUUAUGAUACACUUAUUCAGGUUGCUAAUCUCACUUUGUCACAUGGAACGAUGAUGUGAUUAUCUUGAUGAUUAUAUACAUAGUAAAUUCCUUC